CCUACGUGAGGCUGCAGUGGGGAAUAUUGGACAAUGGGGGAAACCCUGAUCCAGCGACGCCGCGUGAGUGAAGAAGUAUUUCGGUACGUAAAGCUCUAUCAGCAGGAAAGAAAAUGACGGUACCUGACUAAGAAGCCCCGGCUAACUACGUGCCAGCAGCCGCGGUAAUACGUAGGGGGCAAGCGUUAUCCGGAUUUACUGGGUGUAAAGGGAGCGUAGACGGCAGCGCAAGUCUGGAGUGAAAUGCCGGGGCACAACCCCGGAACUGCUCUGGAAACUGUGAAGCUGGAGUGCAGGAGAGGUAAGCGGAAUUCCUGGUGUAGCGGUGAAAUGCGUAGAUAUCAGGAGGAACACCGGCGGCGAAGGCGGCUUACUGGACUGUAACUGACGUUGAGGCUCGAAGGCGUGGGGAGCAAACAGGAUUAGAUACCCGAGUAGUC
rnacentral:rRNA from 1 species